GGGUGGUGGAGCUGGUGACUACUGGUGCCUUCAUGGACAGGACUAGGUUGCCAAAGCAGCCAAAAACUCUCCAGGGGAUGGCAGCUGGGAACAAGGCGACAGAGACGAGGGAAAUACAAAUACAACCCCUGCUUUGGUCUGGGCUUCUGUUGCUAUGGUGAUGUUGACAACUAACGCACAGGUGAGAGACUCUUUCCACAGUGGAGCCAGCGGAUCAUGCAAGCCAGAGGGGUAGGACAGAACCACGAAAGACCCCCACGCCUCCUAGGUCUGAAAAGGACUUCCUGAGGCCAUCUGCCCACUCCCAUACCUCUUACCUGGAAUCAGAUGGAUGGGCAGCAAGUUCCCAAAAAUCCUCAAGAACAAAGCCCACAACCCCCAAAUCCCCUGCUGGGCACAUAUUUCACAAUAUUCAUGACCCUGAAUGGGUUUUCUGUGGCUAAUGUCGCAUUCUCUUGAUGUCCUUCCAGCCCAAUUCCUCUUACAAUUGCUUCUAUGGAAAUCAAAGUUAAUCAUCACCUUACACUCUGUACGGUAACCCAGGAAGAUAAACAAGAAAACAAAACCACAGCUGAAGCGUGGACUCGCUUCUUUCUGUGCUCCCGCGGUCAGCUGUGUUCUUCUCAGAGGGUGGGCUCGACAGCCCACUGACCCAGCAAGAGGCCCGUGGCCGCCCUGAAAGUGGAAAUAGGCCUGCUGCCUCGCGUGUCAAAGUGGGACAUGGCAGCCCUCCCAUGAAGGAUGUUUUCCUUCUCCUGAGUGAAAUAAAGCAGAGAGAGCAG